GAUGAACGCUGGCGGCGUGCCUAAUACAUGCAAGUCGAGCGAACAGACGAGGAGCUUGCUCCUCUGACGUUAGCGGCGGACGGGUGAGUAACACGUGGAUAACCUACCUAUAAGACUGGGAUAACUUCGGGAAACCGGAGCUAAUACCGGAUAAUAUAUUGAACCGCAUGGUUCAAUAGUGAAAGACGGUUUUGCUGUCACUUAUAGAUGGAUCCGCGCUGCAUUAGCUAGUUGGUAAGGUAACGGCUUACCAAGGCAACGAUGCUUAGCCGACCUGAGAGGGUGAUCGGCCACACUGGAACUGAGACACGGUCCAGACUCCUACGGGAGGCAGCAGUAGGGAAUCUUCCGCAAUGGGCGAAAGCUUGACGGAGCAACGCCGCGUGAGUGAUGAAGGUCUUCGGAUCGUAAAACUCUGUUAUUAGGGAAGAACAAAUGUGUAAGUAACUAUGCACGUCUUGACGGUACCUAAUCAGAAAGCCACGGCUAACUACGUG
rnacentral:rRNA from 1 species